ACCUGGCGGGCUCAGUCAGUGGAGCAUGUGACUCUUGAUCUCAGGGUCAUGAGUUCAAGCCCCAUGUUGGGCA
rnacentral:tRNA from 1 species